GUCUAUGGCCAUGCCACCCUGAACAAGCCCGAUGUCUGAUCUUGGAAGCUAGGCAGGGUUGGGUCUGGUUAGUACUUGGAUGGGAGACCACCUAGGAAGACCAGGUGCUGUAGGCA
rnacentral:rRNA from 1 species